rnacentral:rRNA from 1 species
UGAGUUUGAUCAUGGCUCAGAUUGAACGCUGGCGGCAGGCCUAACACAUGCAAGUCGAGCGGUAACAGAAAGUAGCUUGCUACUUUGCUGACGAGCGGCGGACGGGUGAGUAAUGCCUGGGAAUUUGCCCAUUCGAGGGGGAUAACAGUUGGAAACGACUGCUAAUACCGCAUACGCCCUACGGGGGAAAGGAGGGGACCUUCGGGCCUUCCGCGAAUGGAUAAGCCCAGGUGGGAUUAGCUAGUAGGUGAGGUAAUGGCUCACCUAGGCGACGAUCCCUAGCUGUUCUGAGAGGAUGAUCAGCCACACUGGGACUGAGACACGGCCCAGACUCCUACGGGAGGCAGCAGUGGGGAAUAUUGCACAAUGGGCGAAAGCCUGAUGCAGCCAUGCCGCGUGUGUGAAGAAGGCCUUCGGGUUGUAAAGCACUUUCAGCGAGGAGGAAAGGUUACUGGCUAAUAUCCAGUAGCUGUGACGUACUCGCAGAAGAAGCACCGGCUAACUCCGUGCCAGCAGCCGCGGUAAUACGGAGGGUGCGAGCGUUAAUCGGAAUUACUGGGCGUAAAGCGUGCGCAGGCGGUUUGUUAAGCGAGAUGUG